GAUCGGGUGGAUAUUGAGGGAAAUGCACAUAGUGGUCCGCUUGUUAGAUUGGCCUUUGCUUCUCUCUACGACACACUUGGCAUGUGCUUGACCGAUGAAACUACAGUUCUGUUGCUGUAUGCUUUGGUUCAUGGGAAUUCAGACUUUCUAGAAUACGUUCUGGUUCGAACGGAUAUAGAUACAUUGGCUCAAGCUAUGUGAACACAAUUGGAAGACAUUCAAGCUCCUCUUGAAAAUGAGACGAAG